rnacentral:tRNA from 1 species
GAGGGUGUAGCUCAGCAGUAAAGGGCAUGCUUAGCGGGCACGAGGUUCUGGGUUCAAUCCCCAGUACCUCCA